UAAGUCUAUAGCUCAAUGGUUAGAGCAUACGCUUGAUAAGCGUAAGGUUGAUUGUUCGAAUCAAUUUAGACUUAAC
rnacentral:tRNA from 1 species